UCAAACAUUUUGUUGCAGAUCGAGAAAAACAUGUAUUGAAGAUGAAGAUCUUUUGCAUUCAAGUGAAACUGUCAAUUCAGGACUAGAUUCUGAUACCCUAAAAGAAUAUGAAGCAGUGAAUGAAAGAAUGGGAUUGUCUUGUGGAGUUUUAAAAAAACGAUCGAAUUUAUGUUAUACUAGAUGGCAUCGACUAAGAUUAAAAACCUAAGGGUAUUACAGAAGAGGAAUAGAAUAUUACACUGUGGCAGUUGUUGAAUACUUGGGAGUAAUAGAGAAGAACAAGUAAACCUACUGCAAGACUUUUUUAGGAAAACUCGAUGAACAAUUUAUGUCUAAUAUUAAUAUGAAUUUAUUAAUACUAAA